rnacentral:rRNA from 1 species
AGAGUGAACGCUGGCGGUAGGCCUAACACAUGCAAGUCGAACGGCAGCACGGUAAGAGCUUGCUCUUAUGGGUGGCGAGUGGCGGACGGGUGAGGAAUACAUCGGAAUCUACCUUUUGGUGGGGGAUAACGUAGGGAAACUUACGCUAAUACCGCAUACGCCCUUCGGGGGAAAGCCGGGGACCAGCAAUGGCCUGGCGCUGAUAGAUGAGCCGAUGUCGGAUUAGCUAGUUGGUGAGGUAAUGGCUCACCAAGGCGACGAUCCGUAGCUGGUCUGAGAGGAUGAUCAGCCACACUGGAACUGAGACACCGGCCCAGACU